rnacentral:rRNA from 1 species
UACAGAGGGGGCAAGCGUUGUUCGGAAUUACUGGGCGUAAAGGGCGCGUAGGCGGCCUGUUAAGUCGGACGUGAAAUCCCCGGGCUCAACCCGGGAACUGCGUCCGAUACUGGCAGGCUUGAAUCCGGGAGAGGGAUGUGGAAUUCCAGGUGUAGCGGUGAAAUGCGUAGAUAUCUGGAGGAACACCGGUGGCGAAGGCGGCAUCCUGGACCGGCAUUGACGCUGAGGCGCGAAAGCCAGGGGAGCAGACGGG